rnacentral:rRNA from 1 species
GACGUAGGGCGCGAGCGUUGUCCGGAUUUAUUGGGCGUAAAGAGCUCGUAGGCGGUGUGUCACGGUCGGCCGUGAAAACUCGGGGCUUAACCCCGGGCCUGCAGUGGGUACGGGCAGACUAGAGUGCGGUAGGGGAGACUGGAAUUCCUGGUGUAGCGGUGAAAUGCGCAGAUAUCAGGAGGAACACCGGUGGCGAAGGCGGGUCUCUGGGCCGUAACUGACGCUGAGGAGCGAAAGCGUGGGGAGCGAACAGG